GGGUAUAGCUCAGGUGGUAGAGCGCAUGCUUAGCACGCACGAGGCCCUGGGUUCAAUCCCCUGUAUCUUCA
rnacentral:tRNA from 1 species